rnacentral:rRNA from 1 species
CCUACGGGUGGCAGCAGUGAGGAAUAUUGGUCAAUGGGCGCGAGCCUGAACCAGCCAAGUAGCGUGAAGGAUGACUGCCCUACGGGUUGUAAACUUUUUUUAUAAAGGAAUAAAGUGAGGUACGUGUGCCUUUUUGUAUGUAUAUUUUGAUUAAGGAUCGGCUAACACUGUGCCAGCAGCCGCGGUAAUACGGAGGAUCCGAGCGUUAUCCGGAUUUAGUGGGUUGAAAGGGAGCGUAGAGGGUGUGGUAAGUCCGUUGUGAAAGUUUGCGGCUCAACCGUAAAAUUGCAAUUGAUACUGGCAGUCUUGAGUACAGUUGGGGUAGGCGGAAUUCGUGGUGUAGCGGUGAAAUGCUUAGAUAUCACGAAGAACUCCGAUUGCGAAGGCAGCUUACUAAACUGCCACUGACAUUGAUGCUCGAAAGUGUGGGUAUCAAACAGGAUUAGAUACCCCAGUAGUC